AUGGGGACAGCGCGGGGGGCCGGGGGCGCCUGGGGGGCCUGGGGGGCCUGGGGGGCGGGGGCUCGGGCCUGGCCCUCCCCCUGCCCUGGGCCCCUCCCCCCCUUGCCCCUUCCCUUCCCUUCCCCCCUCCCCGCUCAGCUCUCCCUCCUCUUCCCUUCGCCCUCCUCCCCUAUCAUCUCCCCCUCCUCCCCAUCAUCAUCAUCAUCAUCCCCCCCUUUCCUUCGCCUUCCCCCCGCUCCCCUUCUCUUCCCGCCUUUCUCCUGCCCUUGGCCUCCCCUUCCCUUCCCCCUCUUCCUUCUCCCCCCUUGGCCUCCCCUUUCCCUUCUCCCCACCCCUCGGUCUCCCCUUCCCCUCCCCUUCCCCUCUCCCCUCUCCCCCGCUCUGGUCUCCCCUUGGCUUCUUCUCUCUCCUUCCCCUUGCCCUCUCCCUUCUCCCCGACUUAGGUCCCCUUCCCCUGCCCUCUUUCCCUCCCUUUCUUUCCCCUCUCUUUCGGCCUCCCCUCCUUCCCCUCUCCCUCCUCGGCCUCCCCUUCCCCUCUCCUGUCUCCCUCCCUUUCUUUCCCCUCUGCCCCCGCCCCUUCUUCCCCUCCCUCCCGCUCCUCUCCUCCCCCGACGGAAGCCCCCCGGCCCGAAGUGGAGACCCCCGGGGGGGCGGGGAUGGCGCGCCUCGGACGGGGCGGGAGAGACCCCCCCCAGACCCCCCCAGGGUCGGGAAGGGUGGUUCCCCCCCCACCCCCACCCCGCCCGAAGACCCCCACCCUGGGAAUUCUCCACCCGCUGGAGACGGAGAAGGACCCGCUGGGCCUCCGGAGGCUUUCUGCAAGUUGGCAGCCCGGAGGCGGGAGCCGGGAGGAAAGGGAAGGGACGGACCGGUCAGCGAGGGCACGGACGGGCACCGGGCCAGGGAGGGGGCGGGCAGCUCUGCCAAGGCCGGGAGGGGCAGCUGGGCCGGGCAAGCAGAAGAGGAGGAGGAGGAGGCCGGCUGGGCCGGGGACUGGGAGGAGAAGCCCCGGCUGGGCCAGGGAGGGAGGGAGGCCCAGCUGUGCCGCAGCGUCGCGAAGAAGGUGGCCAGCUGUGCCAGCUCGGAGGGGGGCAGGGGGCCGUGCCAGGACCCUGGGCUCGGUCCGGGCCGGUCCGCGGCCCCAAAGUCGCCCGGGCGGCGGCUGGCAGGGAUUAG
rnacentral:lncRNA from 1 species